rnacentral:misc_RNA from 1 species
UCAUUCUUCUCCCUCAGCUCGUCGCCCAGUUCAGACGCGUUUAGUAAUUCUUCUCGUGUACAGUAGUUUUAUUUCUCCAAAAAAUAGUAACUCAGUGCUAGGUUAUUUUAAAAUUAAUUUAAUAUUAUAAAUUAAUUUAAUUAUUUAUAAUAUACACACAUAUAUUUUAAUAUUUAUUAAAAUUAAAUAUUAAAAAAUAAUUAUUAAAAUGGCUGAUCAAGAUAACAAAGAUUUUACCGAAGAUAUUACUGAUCAAAGUUAUGAUCAAAACGGUGAUGCCCCGCAAAACGAGACUGGAAAUGGCGGUGAUGCCGGUGACGCCAAUGAGAACGGCCAGGAUUCACAGGAUGACAAAUCAGGCAGUGAUGGUAACCAGGAGUCACUUAAUGACAGGAAACUUUUCGUUGGUGGGCUCAGUUGGGAAACCAAUGACAAGGAAUUAAGAGAUCACUUUGGUAGCUAUGGUGACAUUGAAAGUAUCAAUGUUAAGACAGACCCUAACACCGGAAGAUCGCGAGGAUUUGCUUUUAUUGUUUUCUCUAAAGCUGAAUCUUUGGACAAGAUUAUGGCAGCUGGGGAUCACGUGAUAAACAACAAAAAAGUAGACCCCAAAAAAGCGAAAGCACGUCAUGGUAAAAUCUUCGUCGGUGGUUUGUCGACGGAGUUGUCUGACGAUGAUAUCAAGAGUUUCUUUGAUAAAUUUGGCAAAAUCGUCGAAGUCGAGAUGCCCUUCGACAAAACAAAGAGUCAGCGCAAAGGAUUCUGUUUCAUUACUUUCGAGUCUGAGCAAGUUGUCAACGAACUUUUGAAGACACCUAAACAGACCAUCAACGGUAAAGAGGUCGAUGUCAAAAAAGCAACCCCGAAACCCGACGGCAUGGGAGGCAUGCGCGGCGGAGCCGCAGCUGGCCGCGGAGCGGCCCGCGGUGGUCGUGGAGGCCGAGGCCGCGGCUUCGGUGGCCAAGGAUGGAGCCAAGGUGGCUACGGAGCCGGUGGAUAUGGCGGUGGUUACGGACAAGGAGGUUACGGUGGUGGAUAUGAUGGCUAUGGUAGUUAUGACUAUUAUGGCGGUGGAUAUGGCGGCUACGGUGGUUACGACUACACCGGAUACGGAGGCUCAGGCUACGGCGGCAAGCAGAGGGGUGGUGGUGGUCGCCAGAACCAAAGGCACCAACCCUAUUAAUUUGGGGAUUCCGUUUAUCGCGAGCUCAAUUAUGCUGUUUAAAUCAUUCAUUUACCACUGGUCUUCAAACUUACAGCAAAAUACACAAUUCAUUGAAUCAUCAUUCCAUAAAGUCAUCGCGUCAUCAACAAAGCAGACAACUGCCGCAAAAUAAUUAUAACAAUCAACAACAAGAUUCGCAACAUCAAAAAACCCACCAACAAACCAAUGUAUCAUACAUGCGUUAAAAUUUGUCCGGCCCUAAUGACCUCACAAUUUAUUAUUAAUAUUUAAUAAUUAAUAAUUAAUAAUAAUAAAUACUGAUAAUAAUAA